GAUGAACGCUGGCGGCGUGCCUAAUACAUGCAAGUCGAGCGAACGGACGAGAAGCUUGCUUCUCUGAUGUUAGCGGCGGACGGGUGAGUCACACGUGGAUAACCUACCUAUAAGACUGGGAUAACUUCGGGAAACCGGAGCUAAUACCGGAUAAUAUUUUGAACCGCAUGGUUCAAAAGUGAAAGACGGUCUUGCUGUCACUUAUAGCUGGAUCCGCGCUGCAUUAGCUAGUUGGUAAGGUAACGGCUUACCAAGGCAACGAUGCAUAGCCGACCUGAGAGGGUGGUCGGCCAGCCUGGAACUGAGACACGGUACAGACUCCUACAGGAAGCAGCAGUAGGGAAUCUUCCGGAAUGGGCGAAAGCCUGACGGAGCAACGCCGCGGGAGUGAUGAAGGACUUCGGAUGGGAAAAUUCUGAUAUUAGGGAAGAACAUAUGUGUAAGUAACUGUGCACAUCAUGACGGUACCUAGUCAGAAAGCCACGGCUAACUACGUG
rnacentral:rRNA from 1 species